UAGCUGCCUAGCGAAGGGCAACA
rnacentral:miRNA from 1 species